rnacentral:rRNA from 1 species
UACGUAGGGGGCAAGCGUUAUCCGGAUUUACUGGGUGUAAAGGGCGUGCAGCCUGGCUGACAAGUCAGAUGUGAAAUCCCGCGGCUCAACCGCGGAACUGCAUUUGAAACUGUCAGUCUUGAGUACCGGAGAGGUCAUCGGAAUUCCUUGUGUAGCGGUGAAAUGCGUAGAUAUAAGGAGGAACACCAGUGGCGAAGGCGGCCUGCUGGACGAUGACUGACGUUGAGGCUCGAAAGCGUGGGGAGCAAACAGG